GUACACAAAAAUGCACAUAUUGUGAGCUCGAUGAGUAGGGCGGGACACGUGGUAUCCUGUCUGAAUAUGGGGGGACCAUCCUCCAAGGCUAAAUACUCCUGACUGACCGAUAGUGAACCAGUACCGUGAGGGAAAGGCGAAAAGAACCCCGGCGAGGGGAGUGAAAAAGAACCUGAAACCGUGUACGUACAAGCAGUGGGAGCCUCUUUAUGGGGUGACUGCGUACCUUUUGUAUAAUGGGUCAGCGACUUAUAUUCUGUAGCAAGGUUAACCGAAUAGGGGAGCCGAAGGGAAACCGAGUCUUAACUGGGCGUUAAGUUGCAGGGUAUAGACCCGAAACCCGGUGAUCUAGCCAUGGGCAGGUUGAAGGUUGGGUAACACUAACUGGAGGACCGAACCGACUAAUGUUGAAAAAUUAGCGGAUGACUUGUGGCUGGGGGUGAAAGGCCAAUCAAACCGGGAGAUAGCUGGUUCUCCCCGAAAGCUAUUUAGGUAGCGCCUCGUGAAUUCAUCUCCGGGGGUAGAGCACUGUUUCGGCAAGGGGGUCAUCCCGACUUACCAACCCGAUGCAAACUGCGAAUACCGGAGAAUGUUAUCACGGGAGACACACGGCGGGUGCUAACGUCCGUCGUGAAGAGGGAAACAACCCAGACCGCCAGCUAAGGUCCCAAAGUCAUGGUUAAGUGGGAAACGAUGUGGGAAGGCCCAGACAGCCAGGAUGUUGGCUUAGAAGCAGCCAUCAUUUAAAGAAAGCGUAAUAGCUCACUGGUCGAGUCGGCCUGCGCGGAAGAUGUAACGGGGCUAAACCAUGCACCGAAGCUGCGGCAGCGACACUAUGUGUUGUUGGGUAGGGGAGCGUUCUGUAAGCCUGUGAAGGUGGCCUGUGAGGGUUGCUGGAGGUAUCAGAAGUGCGAAUGCUGACAUAAGUAACGAUAAAGCGGGUGAAAAGCCCGCUCGCCGGAAGACCAAGGGUUC
rnacentral:rRNA from 1 species